GCAUAUCAAUAAGCGGAGGAAAAGAAACCAACAGGGAUUGCCCUAGUAACGGCGAGUGAAGCGGCAACAGCUCAAAUUUGAAAUCUGGCUUCGGCCCGAGUUGUAAUUUGUAGAGGAUGCUUUGGGCGCGGCUCUAACUGAGUUCCCUGGAACGGGACGCCACAGAGGGUGAGAGCCCCGUAUAGUUAGAUGCCUAGCCUAUGUAAAGCUCCUUCGACGAGUCGAGUAGUUUGGGAAUGCUGCUCUAAAUGGGAGGUAAAUUUCUUCUAAAGCUAAAUAUUGGCCAGAGACCGAUAGCGCACAAGUAGAGUGAUCGAAAGAUGAAAAGCACUUUGAAAAGAGGGUUAAAUAGCACGUGAAAUUGUUGAAAGGGAAGCGCUUGUGACCAGACUUGCGCCGGGCAGAUCAUCCGGUGUUCUCACCGGUGCACUCUGCCCGGCUCAGGCCAGCAUCGGUUCUCGUGGGGGGAUAAAGGUCCCGGGAACGUAGCUCCUCCGGGAGUGUUAUAGCCCGGGGCGUAAUGCCCUCGUGGGGACCGAGGUUCGCGCAUCUGCAAGGAUGCUGGCGUAAUGGUCAUCAGCGACCCGUCUUGAAACACGGACCAAGGAGUCAAGGUUUUGCGCGAGUGUUUGGGUGUAAAACCCGCACGCGUAAUGAAAGUGAACGUAGGUGAGAGCUUCGGCGCAUCAUCGACCGAUCCUGAUGUAUUCGGAUGGAUUUGAGUAAGAGCGUUAAGCCUUGGACCCGAAAGAUGGUGAACUAUGCUUGGAUAGGGUGAAGCCAGAGGAAACUCUGGUGGAGGCUCGCAGCGGUUCUGACGUGCAAAUCGAUCGUCAAAUCUGAGCAUGGGGGCGAAAGACUAAUCGAACCAUCUAGUAGCUGGUUACCGCCGAA
rnacentral:rRNA from 1 species